CAACUGAUUAUUAUAGUUUGUUCUUAUGUUGUGCUGUUAGCCCACUGUCCCAUGUUAGGGGGAGGGGUUGAGCGCUCACAAACAUGUUUAACCCCGCCACAUUCUUCAUGUGCCUGUCCCGAGUCAGUCAGCCUGUAAUUUAAUGGUUGUCGUUGGUUCAUGUCUGUCAUAUUUGCUUUUCGUUAAUUGUUUUGUUAUAAAUUAGGUCGUUAGUUUUCUCAGUUGAAUUGUUUUAUAUUUUUCAUGUCGGUGCAUUUUACAGCCGACUAUACGGUAUGGGUUUUUCUCAGUGUUGAAGGCCGUACGGUUGUCUAUAAUUGCUUACAUCCACUUUAUUUGAAUUUUGGUGUAUAAUUGUUUCAUUGGCAAUCAUACCUCAUUUCCUUAUUUUUAUAUUAAACACACAAAUAAACCUUAAUCUGCACUUAA